rnacentral:rRNA from 1 species
AACGAACGCUGGCGGCAUGCCUAAUACAUGCAAGUCGAACGAUCACUUCGGUGGUAGUGGCGCACGGGUGCGUAACGCGUGGGAAUCUGCCCUUGGGUUCGGAAUAACGUCGGGAAACUGACGCUAAUACCGGAUGAUGACGUAAGUCCAAAGAUUGUAUCGCCCAGGGAUGAGCCCGCGUAGGAUUAGCUGGUUGGUGGGGUAAAGGCCUACCAAGGCGACGAUCCUUAGCUGGUCUGAGAGGAUGAUCAGCCACACUGGGACUGAGACACGGCCCAGACUCCUACGGGAGGCAGCAGUAGGGAAUAUUGGACAAUGGGGGCAACCCUGAUCCAGCAAUGCCGCGUGAGUGAUGAAGGCCUUAGGGUUGUAAAGCUCUUUUACCCGGGAUGAUAAUGACAGUACCGGGAGAAUAAGCCCCGGCUAACUCCGUGCCAGCCGCCGCCGUAA